rnacentral:pre_miRNA from 1 species
ACCCCGCAGGCUGGCCCGCCCCCAGGCUGGGCUGCAAGUAUCUCUUCAAAAGGCUCACCCUCAAGCAAGACUAGCAGC